AAGCUCGUAGUUGAAUUUCGAAUGUGGCUGGGCGGUCCGCCUCACGGUGUGUACUGUCUGGCUGUGUUCUCUUUCUUGGUGAGCCGGCAUGCCCCUUUACUGGGUGUGUUGGGGAACCAGGACGUUUACCUUGAGAAAAUUAGAGUGUUCAAAGCAGGCCUACGCCCGAAUACAUUAGCAUGGCAUAAUAAAAUAGGACGUGCGGUUCUAUUUUGUUGGUUUCUAGAGCCGCAGUAAUGAUUAAUAGGGAUAGUUGGG
rnacentral:rRNA from 1 species